GACGAACCGUGCGAGCGUUGUUCGGAUUCACUGGGCGUAAAGGGUGCGUAGGUGGGGGGGUAGGUCGGUUGUGAAAGCUCGGAGCUCAACUCCGAAAUGGCAUUGGAAACUACCCUGCUUGAGGGUCGGAGGGGGGACUGGAGUUCUCGGUGUAGCAGUGAAAUGCGUAGAUAUCGAGAGGAACACCAGUGGCGAAGGCGAGUCCCUGGACGACUCCUGACACUGAGGCACGAAAGCUAGGGGAGCAAACAGG
rnacentral:rRNA from 1 species